rnacentral:lncRNA from 1 species
GUUGGGGGGUGGUCCGCGGCGAGGGGCGCGGGGUGCAUCUUCUCUUCCUUUUAUUAUCUUUUCUUAUUAUGUAAUAGUCAAGGGAAAUUAUAAGCACUGUGUGAGGUUUUCUGAAAUGGGAUUAGAGAAAACCCAAAUAAUCUCUUUAAGAUAAAAAAGUACUGAGUCUUUCAGCAAUAGAAAGAAAUUAAACCAUAAGCUUAGCAUGUUACAAGCUAAUUGCAAGAGUAAACUCGUGGCAUAGGAAGAAAGCUCAUAAACAGAAAUAAAAUCGUGCUGGUGAAUGUUGAGAUAAAAAGUGGUUCAGGCUGUCGCAACGCCUUUCCGUAGCUGCUGCUUGAAUCACCUCUCUUGGUACAUUCAAGAAAUAUCACAGAAUUCCAGAAACACGACACAAAAGAGUGUGUGCGUGUGUUGUUUUGGUUGGUGUUUGUAUUCCAAACAGCUUGAGCGGACAGCUUAUCGGAAGCACGUACCCAUUCUGUGAGUUCAGACCUCAUACCUGGUCUUAAUUGCUUUGCUCCUUGUCCCCUCCCUUAGCUGUUUGGGAUGUGCUGAUUUAAUUACUCCCCUUCCCAUCUGUUUUCUUUCGGCUUCCCUCCUGCACCCUGGGACCCUUUUGCCUGUUCUGGGAGCUGAGUGGGUCAGCUCAUCACAGGCCUGCGGCCCCUGCAUGGAUGACAGAGGAGGCAAAGAUGACACAGAGAAACUAUCCCUUCAGGGACAAAGCGGGGACACCCACGAGCUUGGCUCUGCCUUACAAAGAAAUGAGAAGGAACCCUGUUCCUGCUUUUCACCUUAGGUGAGCGCUGAAUCUGCAGCCACUCACCAAACGCCUGAGCAGCCCCACACCACAGUGAUGAGCUGGGGAGGAAACGACCCAGAUGCAUGGGUCUGAAUCCCCCUCUUCCACUUUCUAGCCCCAUGACCUCAGAUAUGCCACUUCUAAUUGCUCUGCCUCGGUUUUCUCAUCUGCAAAAUGGGACCAGCAGAGUUCCUGCUUCCCAAGGCACGAUGAGGAUGAUGUCAUAACACACUCGGAAGCAUUGAUGGCAAUACCAAGCACCAAAUAAGUGCUCAGUGAUGAGUAGCGGUUAUUAUUGUUGAAAUGCAAUAUAAAUGGAAGGAGAGAGCACAAUAAGGAGAGGCACUGGAAUGUGACAUUUGUGGGGAGGAGUUUGGGGACAUGUCAGUGUCAGGCACACAGUAAUACAAGCUGAUAAUCAAGGCAAGCAAAUAAUCAAAAGGCUAACAAGAGCCAAGGCUGACUAAGCAUUUGACAGGUGCUGCCCUAAGCCUUGAUAGGAAGCAGCUCACUGCCUCCUCAUAGGUACCCCAGGAAGCUGGUCCAGAGAAGAUUUCCAUUUCAGAGAGGAGGAACUGGGGCUGGGGAGUCCGAGUCACUAGACCCCGGUCACGGGACUACUGGGGGUAGAGCCGACACCAUUCCACUCCCCCAGGGGCUCAGGUGCCUACGCCUGGCCUCCUGCCUCUCCACGGAGAUGCAGGGUGCCUCACUUGUGUGUCCCUUCUUCCUUGAAUUUAACCAGGAGUGAGCAGUGGACAGCUUCUUCCCUAUGAGAAGGAGGCGAAGCAGGACCUGAAAUCCCGUGCUCAGCUCCCACAUCCCCCGUGUCCAGGACAAGUCCUUUGCUGAAUCAGCGGCAGACACCACCUGGAGCCCUUCGGGAGCCUUUCCCUGUUCUUCCAGCAUGGAUCUGAAACUCCCUUCCCACUUUCUGCAGCCUCCCAGAGAUAGUUCAGGCUCCAGCCUCAUGUGAUAGCAUGAAGGGAAACUGUGGUUUCAACAGCUGUGUGCUCUGCUGCCCUCAUCCCAAACAACAAUUUAAAUGCACAAUUACACUUUUCUCUAAGGCCCAAAAUAGGAUAGGAAAGACCGUUUUGCUAUCCCUGAAUGCCUGGCACCCUUGUUUCGUAACAGGAAGUCAGUCCCAGAAUAGUUGUUCUGCUCCCUCCCUUCUAAUAAGUACUGCGCUGAGUGUGCUUGCUUUGUCAGAUGGUUAAAAUAGAGCAGGGGAUAGAAGGACAGAUGUCUUCACCCUCAUGGAUUUCACCUUCCAGUAGGAGGAGGCAAUAGGCCGGGGUCUGCACAUGUGCGUGCUAGAGCAUGUUCCACAGUGAGAGUGGCGUGCGGGGCAGGUGAGCAGCUCAUGCCAUCCAGAGAGCUAGGAAAGGGGGGUUGCAGUUUUAGCAAGAUGGGCAGGGAAGGCCUUGAUGAGAAGGAGACCAUUGAGCAAAGACACCAGGAGUGGGUGCAGAGAGCUGAGGGCACUUCUAGAAGUGCCUGCUGGGAUAAUGGGGUGUCUGCCAGUGCCACGGCCCUGAAGUGCCACUAUACCUGGGGUUUUUGAGGAAGAACAAUGGGGCCAAUGGCUGGAAGUCA